CAAGACACCAAUUGUCAAGAAUUUCCCUGCAAACUGUCAUAUGUUAGUGAAUGUGUUUGGAGGAAGCAGCCGCGGCGGAGGGCGAGCAGCGCGGAGGGAGAGACUCCACUUCUCAGCUGCUGAGCAAAUUGUCUUCUGGGCAUGAGGGGGGCAUGAAGGAGGAAUCUGAGCAGGCUCAGUUAGGAGACACAAAGUCACCACAACAAUGCAUGAGGGGCCCGGCAAGAGGAACGAGAGGAGUCUGGGAUAAAGACUAAAUACCGAGCGGAGCAGUUUCCCGUGGCGCUCGCUCGGGCUGUGCACACCGGGCCGUGUGACAUUACAGCCGGGCCGGUGAGGCCGGGCAGGCUGCCGGGGGGACAAACCGUGACUCCGGUAAUACAGAGAGAAAUAUCACCCCCGACUGGAGCUUUG